rnacentral:misc_RNA from 1 species
UAAUUGAGUAUAUUGAUGUGGUGCCUCGGGGCGUGGAAGAGGUUUAGGUGUGUGGGUCUAGGGGCCAAGAAGGUCAGUUGCAAGGUGGCCGAGGAACGGGGUGGACGUGCUCGCUCCUCCUCCUCUACUCUCUUCACUCGUACAUCUUCAGACACCACUAAAACCACCAUGAGUGCUCCUAAGAAAGUGUGCAUCGUGGGGUCGGGCAAUUGGGGGUCGGCCAUUGCCAAGAUCGUUGGCACAAACGUUACCAAGUUUGACAAGUUCGACAACGAGGUGCGGAUGUUCGUGUAUGAGGAGAUGGUCGACGGCAGGAAGCUAACGGAGAUCAUUAACACCACCCACGAGAACGUAAAGUACCUCCCGGGCAAGAAGCUCCCAGAGAACGUGGUGGCAGUACCUGAUGUAUUGGAAGCUGCUAAGGAUGCAGAUGUGCUCAUUUUUGUCAUCCCUCACCAGUUCAUCAAGCGCAUUUGUCAGCCUCUGGUAGGGAACCUAAAACCUACCACUGUGGGCAUCUCUCUUAUUAAGGGUUUUGAUUCAAAGGAGGGAGGUGGCCUCACUCUAAUUUCACACCUCAUUCAGGAAACUGUAAAUAUUCCAGUGUCUGUCCUCAUGGGGGCCAACUUGGCUGGAGAAGUUGCUGAUGAAAAGUUUUGUGAAACUACGAUAGGUUGUCGUGACAUGGAAGUUGGACGGGUGUACAGAGACCUUAUUCAAACUGAUUACUUCAGAGUAGUAGUAGUUGAAGAUGUUGAAGCCGUUGAAGUCUGUGGAGCUCUUAAGAAUAUUGUAGCGACAGGUGCUGGGUUUGUCGAUGGCCUUGGGUACGGUGACAACACAAAGGCUGCCAUUAUAAGACUAGGUCUGAUGGAAAUGAUAAAGUUCUGUGAGGUUUUCUAUCCAGGGUCAAAAUUAGGAACAUUUUUUGAGAGUUGUGGUGUUGCUGAUCUCAUUACCACUUGCUAUGGCGGCAGAAACAGAAAAGUUGCAGAAGCAUUUGUUAAAACAGGCAAGUCUAUUUUGGAACUAGAAAAGGAAAUGCUGAAUGGCCAGAAGCUACAAGGACCUUACACGGCAGUAGAAGUAAAUUAUAUGCUCAAAGAUAAAAAUAUGGAAGAAAGAUUUCCUCUCUUCACAGCUAUUCACCAGAUUUGUUUGGGUGAUCUUCCUCCUUCAGGGAUGAUUGACUGUAUUCGAAACCAUCCUGAACAUAUCAACAGACUGUAACUGCACCAUCAACAUCGCCAGUCCCAGGCAACAGUGCUGUGUGAACCCACUGUUAAACGGCAUCAUCCAAAUCCUCGUGUGCUCUUUCGAUGAACAACACACACCAGUCGCAUAAUGCCAAGAUUAAAAGCUUCAGAAAUAAGACUUUUACUAUUUUCUGCGAAUGAAUUAUACAUCUUGUCAUAGAAAUAAUGUGGGCAUUCUGUGAUGGCGUUAAGUAAGUUACUAUUUUUUGUUUUGGUUUUUAUAUAAAAAUAUAUAAAUAAAAUAUUUGAGUGUUUAUCAGAACUUUAUAUAUGGUAGAUCGGUGGGUCCUCCAGUUUCCAUGUGUGCUAAUCUCCUAAAGUUGUCUUGUGAAUAAUUUCUCCUUUCGCAAUAUAUGUUUAUCAUAUCAGUGUUUGUAUAUACUGUACUGCUAUUAAAAUUAGUUUUGAAUUAGAGAGGGAUAACAUUUACUGAUUAACUCUUGUUAAAGAUUAAGAUUAAGGGAAGUUUGUCCCCUUAUGUUAUAUAAAUGUGAUCUCCUGUUGUCCCCACAACAAUUAUAAUUGAGGCAACAAAAGUUUAAAAGUUCUUGUACUGCACUCUUCUGUAAUGCCAUAUUUAUCAAGUACCUUUUUUAGUUUUUUAACAUUUACAUGCAAACCAUUUAUACUUUAUAAAAGUGAAUGUUUACUCGGCAAAAAUUCUGCUUUAGAAAUGCAGAAAGUAUUUUUUGCAAAAACUGGAAUAAGUGUGCAGAAGGUAUAGUUUUGUUCUGUAUACCACACAAGUUACCAGUUUUAAUGACACAAGAUAGUAAUAGUAAUAGAAAGAUUCAUAAGUUUUGCACUAUACAUAUUCUUGAGCAAAUGUUUUAUGGCUUAAUUUAAGCAAACACGUCUUAAAUUUUGGUCUCGGUCAUUAAUAACAUUGACAGUGUGUUCGUACACUUCCUCCACCACAGUUUGGUCUCUUAUCCACCUGUUCAACCACUCUCUUCAUUAAAGUAUACUUUAGCAUUCCUUUUGUUUAAUGUGCGUUAUAGUCCUUUCAUUCCUGUCCUGAAGUCUUUAGUUCUAGUGGCCAGUGAACAUUAAUGAAUGUACCAAUAUUGUAGUUCUUUCACGUUAUAACCUUUUGUUUAUUGAGAUUUUCUUGCAAAUGUCAUUUCUGCAGCUCUCAAUUUAAUUUGACUUAAUUUUUUAGGUACAAACAAAAAAUUACUAGAUCAUAAUAAAUUAGAUUACUCAUCAGUGUUCAUUUUGAACUACAGAUUUUUUAUUUAACUAAAAUAUGCCAACUUGUUAAUCUAAAAACUGUUACUGAUAAACUGAAGAGAUGCAAUAUACAGUAAUGUACAAAAUGAACAACGAUAGUACUGUACUCUGAAAACUAAAGCGGAGCUGACAAAAACAAAAUAACAAAAAUUUGCAACACAUCAUCCUUGAUUCACCUUUAACAAAAUCACUUGUUUACCUUAUUAGACAAGUGUGCAAAGAUGGUUUAAAAUUAUAUAUUUUCUUGAUGUUUUCAGGAAGUACAUUACUCAAUUUAAAUGGAUUAGCAAAAUUUGUACAUAGUUCAUGAAGGAUCAGUUGCAAAAGCUUGACUAGAGCUAGACCAAAUUGAGCUAGACUAGAGCUAGACUAGAUUGAUAAGAGCUUCACUGGAAUAAACAAAGGACACAAGUUCCUAUAAUCUUCAACCGUGUGCAUAAAAUUAAGCAAGAAACUUGUAUUAUUAAAGUUUGUAUAGUAACUUUAUUGCAAAAGUAGUUUUAUCUUGUAUAUAGCUUGAGACUUUAAAUUUCCUUGUGCUGAAAGUGUCCUUCAAUGUUUAAACAUGCAGAACAUUAGACCCAUGUUUUUAGUUUUUUCAAGGUGGUGGCUAUUUGCAGUUAAAGCGGCAGCACAUUCAUUUUCUUUUACAUAAUGUCAUAACUAUUUGAAUUCGACCUUUUAUUAACAAAUUACUCUUAACAAAAAUCACUGACACGGUACAUUGUAAAAGGCAGCUGUACCCACAACACUGGGACCCAGUAACCCCUACAUAUGUACACGGGAAGAUGGGACACCACGAGCGUAGCUCUCAUCCUGUAACUACACUUAGGUAAUUACACUUAGGUAAUUACGACAUUUGUGUUGCAACCUAGUCAAUUAUGUAUAAACGUAGUUAGCCUUUCCUCCCUCUCCCCACAUGCAUACACAGAGAAAUCAGUUUCACUGUUAACUGGUUCUUACAAAAGUAUUUCCCAAGGAUAGUAAGAGACCUGUUAUAUUAUACACUAAAUUUUAUUAAGCAGCUGUCGAUUAAAGUUUGUCACUAAACAAAUGAUAAAGCAUUAUGCCAGAUAAAGGUACUGUUUAUAGGUUAUGUAAUACCAAAAUGUUAUGUACAAUUUUAAAUACUGUUUCUAUGUAAUAUGGUGCAUUGCUGUAAUGAACCAUUAAGAAUAUAUGAAGUUUCCUGCCCCCACAAAAGGCAUAGGUGCUGGUGUAAUGUGUAGAGUAAUGAAAUUUGGAGGUUUUCAAAUUGAUGUGCCCACUAUUGGCAAUUUUAACAUCUAAAUGAUAUGACUUGUUAAGAGUAAUAUUUGCUGUAUAUCAAUAUACUUUUGAUAACAUAAAUAUCAUCUCGGUUGAGUGCUUUGUCUAAGCAAAAUAAUAUAUAGAUGAAUUGGCUACAAUAUCAUUUUGAUUUGAUUUCUGACCAAACAGAAGAUUUGCAUUAAAAAGCAGAGUUUAUUUUUAAGCACUGCCAUGCUUAGAGAAGCGUUUGGCUUGGUAAAGUUACAUCAGUGAACAAGGCUUUGCUCAUAUGGUUUGAAGAUGCGUUUUAAUCAGUGCUUCCAUCACAUGAUUACUUCAGUAAUUUGUGCCAGUUUUACUUUGUACAAGUCAACGCAUUCAAAGUAUUUUGUCUUGCACAUUAAGUGUAAUUUACAAAACUUUUUUUUUUUUUUUUUUUUUAUUUACAGCAGUGAGAGUACAGUAUUAGCUAACCUUUCAUAGGUACUAUACUGUGUAUUUAAAGUGUUUUGACAUUUUUAUAGAGAUUUAUUAUGCUCAAGCAUUUCAUGCAGUUACUAUUGUAUCUACCUAAAGUUAGCAACCUGGUGCUGCACUCUAAUAUUCAUACUUUAAUUUAAUUUAAAAUAUCUCGACACUUAUUGGCUAUGCAUUUUUCAAACUUUUGCAUGUAUAACUUAGUACAAACAUACAUAAUACUGUAGUUACUCUAUCAGUAACAUGUAUUUUUAAUUGUUUUGGACUCAUAACAACUCAGGUCACUACUGUAUUAUAACUAAUUUUGAGUACUGUAUUUAGUUAGAAGUAACAAAGGAUUUCCAUAAAAACCUAGAUAGUUCAUAAAAAUGACUAUGCUUGUGCUAACAUCCAAAUACCUCGGUGAUAUAUUAGUUUAAAUGUAAGGUAUCCAGGUCAAGUCCAAAACAUUAAAGUUUAGCAUUGAUACACCAAUAUAAGUGGUUAAGAUUACUUAAAAAGCAUUUUCUUCAUUCAGUCAUUCAGUACAGUGUGGAGAUUGUGUAAAAAGCCGUAAAUGAAAGCCCUAAAUAUUUUAUUUUUGACUGAAUUUACAGAUCUUUUAUCUGAAUAUAUUGAAGGUAUUAGUUUUUGUUAAAAUUCAUAUUUAAAUGCUUUGUUACAUUUUAACAUUUAAGUUAAUGUGAAAGGCAAGAUUGCAUAAAAGAAUUUUUCCUGCUGUUGCUUAGAUUAAGGCAACAUUUAGAUUAAAGCUUGUGCUUCAUUUUACAGUAUUGACAAAUAUAAUAUAACUCCUACCUUCAGUAAGGCUCAGAAUUUCAUAAGACAAAUACAGCCUCCAUUUAAAUGUGUUAAUCACAAUUUAAAUUUGUAGAAAUUAAGCACUGUACACACACUUUGUAUAAUAAAAUAUGCAGCUAAUGGAAAUGAGAAUAAAUAUGUAUUUGUUAAGUCUACCUAUUUUAGUGCCAUACUUGAUGACUAAUGAUUUUAAAUGUUUCAUGUGUACAAUGUUUUUACAUUGUAAUAAUUCAGUACAGUGCAAAAGUACUUUCUGCUAAAGAUCACAUUCUGUGCAUAAAAAAUAAGAAGUCGGUAAUUUGAUCAAAUUUGCUCGCUACAUAGCAGUAAGUGGGAAAACAUUUGCCCUAGAUUAUACUUGGUGGUUUUCAUGGAAAAGCAGUUUACUGGCAGUGAUUCUUGAAAUGGUUGUGUAAUAUAAAUAUGUAAAAUAAGUUGUCUAAUGCAUUUCCCAACAUUUCAUAGCAUUAAACUUUAGAAUUACUGCACAUGGAAAUGAGUACUAGUAUUGUGCAAUAAUAAGUGUUGGCAUUUUGCAGCAUCAUGGAAUAUUUUAUUUACUGGAGAAAUAAAAGGUAAUUGACA